GAUCCUGGCUCAGGAUGAACGCUGGCGGCGCGCCUAACACAUGCAAGUCGAACGGCACCCCUCUCCGGAGGGAAGCGAGUGGCGAACGGCUGAGUAACACGUGGAGAACCUGCCCCCCUCCCCCGGGAUAGCCGCCCGAAAGGACGGGUAAUACCGGAUACCCCCGGCGGCCGCCAUGGCGGCCCGGGCCGUAAAGACCCCGACCGGGAGGGGGAGUGGCGUCCGCCGGCCCGACUCAGGUAGGACGGCGGGGUGGACGGCCCGACCCGUCGCCGACCAACGGUAGGCCGGGUUGGAG
rnacentral:rRNA from 1 species